GAUGAACGCUGGCGGCGUGCCUAAUACAUGCAAGUCGAACGAAACUUCUUUAUCACCGAGUGCUUGCACUCACCGAUACAGAGUUGAGUGGCGAACGGGUGAGUAACACGUGGGCAACCUGCCCAAAAGAGGGGGAUAACACUUGGAAACAGGUGCUAAUACCGCAUAACCAUAGUUACCGCAUGGUAACUAUGUAAAAGGUGGCUAUACUACCGCUUUUGGAUGGGCCCGCGGCGCAUUAGCUAGUUGGUAGGGUAAAGGCUUACCAAGGCAAUGAUGCGUAGCCGAAUUGAGAGGUUGAUCGGCCACAUUGGGACUGAGACACGGCCCAAACUCCUACGGGAGGCAGCAGUAGGGAAUCCUCCACAAUGGGCGAAAGCCUGAUGGAGCAACGCCGCGUGGGUGAAGAAGGUCUUCGGAUCGUAAAACCCUGUUGUUAGAGAAGAAAGUGCGUGAGAGUAACUGUUCACGUUUCGACGGUAUCUAACCAGAAAGCCACGGCUAACUACGUG
rnacentral:rRNA from 1 species